rnacentral:rRNA from 1 species
GCGGGCUGGGACCUUACUUCGGUGAGGGCUCCAGCUUGUCUGAAUUAUUCACCCAUGUCUUUUGCGCACUUCUUGUUUCCUGGGCGGGUUCGCCCGCCACCAGGACCAAACCAUAAACCUUUUUGUAAUUGCAAUCAGCGUCAGUAAACAAUGUAAUUAUUACAACUUUCAACAACGGAUCUCUUGGUUCUGGCAUCGAUGAAGAACGCAGCGAAAUGCGAUACGUAGUGUGAAUUGCAGAAUUCAGUGAAUCAUCGAAUCUUUGAACGCACAUUGCGCCCUUUGGUAUUCCAAAGGGCAUGCCUGUUCGAGCGUCAUUUGUACCCUCAAGCUUUGCUUGGUGUUGGGCGUCUUGUCUCUCACGAGACUCGCCUUAAAAUCAUUGGCAGCCGACCUACUGGUUUCGGAGCGCAGCACAAUUCUUGCACUUUGAAUCAGCCUUGGUUGAGCAUCCAUCAAGACCCUAUUUUUUUUAACUUU